rnacentral:lncRNA from 10 species
ACCCUGAGAGGAAGGAGGAGCUGGUUUCUCAACAGCUCCCUAGACAGGGUCUCACUCCGUCACCAAGGCAGAUUGCGAAGGUGUCAUGGCAGCUCACUGCAGCCUGGACCUCCCAGGCUUAAGCGAUCCUUCCACCUCAGCCUUGUGAGUAGCUGGGACCACAGGUGCACAUCACCACCACGCCCAAAUAUUUGUAUUUUUUGUAGAGAUAGGGGUCUUUCCAUGUUGCUCAGGCUGGUCUCAAACUCCUGGACUCAAGUGAUCUGCCUGCCUCUGCCUCCCAAUGUGUUGGGAUUACAUACGUGAGCCACCGCAUCCUUUUUUAAAUCUCAAGAAUACUGUGUGUGUUACUGAGUGUGAUACAAUAGUCCCCCCUUAUCUGUGACACACAUGUUCUAAGACCUCCAGUGAAUGCGUGAGGCUGCCCACAGUGCUGAAUCCUAUAUUUCCCAUGCUUUUUCAAUCUGAUAACUAAGAGGACCAUGAGCAGGUGGCGUAGACAGCAUGUGUACACACUGGACAAAGGGAUGAUUCACGUCCCAGGCAGGACAGGGUGGGACAGGGUGAGAUUUUAUCACGCUACUCAGAACGGUGUGCAAUGUAAAACAUGAAUUCUUUCUGGAAUUUUCCAUGUUUUUUUUAUUGUAGUUAGCUGUAGCAAACUGAAACCAUGGAGAGUGAAACUGUGGACAAAGGAGAACUACUGUACUAACAUUAUCAUCCCUGUAGCACAAGUUGGGAAACUGAGGCUCAAAGAGAAAGUCCCCUAUGCAAGCUCCUGUGGGUAUUAAGUGUCAGAAUCUGAAUUUGAACCCUAGUCUAACCGACUCUAGAAGCCAGCUCUGCAUCUUGGAGAUCUCUUCAAUCCUUCAGAACACACAGCCCUAACUGCCCAAAGCACAGCUUACCUUUCUGUGGUAAGAGAAUGAAGGCGGCAGCCACCCUUCACUCCACAUCUGCGUGUUGUUCCUCAGCAGAGGUGGGGAAUCAGGGCCUGCUAAGGGCCUCAACUUCCUCCCACUGGCCCUUCCCAGCCCAAGGUGGAACCCAUGGCCAGAGCAUGCCUCACACCCCACCUUAGUCUCACUAGAAUCUCACAUGUGCAAUUUGCAAAUGAGUGGGCUGUCUUCCUCCACCCAGUCUGACUUUCACUUCUUUAGAAGAUUUUUGUGUGACUCUGUUUUAUUUUGUUUUAACUGCAGACAAAUGCCACAGAGCACUUUUCUGCUAAAGAAAACUGUCUAGCUACUGCUCACCUGGCAAAGCCAGUCUGCCUUCCAACUGGAACAGAGCUUCCCCUUUGCGAAUGGCUUUACGCUGACAAAGCCCUUUUCUGUCCUUAUCUCAUCUACUCCUCCGCCAGCCAGAGUUAGCAGUAUUAUUCUCAGAGCGCCCGAGAACAGAGUGUUUAUUCUUAUCCCUAUUAUCUAAAAGAGUGGAGGCGUUUAUGAUCACUCAUUGAAUUGCUAUGGAGUGGGGAGAGCUCGGAAAGGUGAAGUGACUUGCUCAAGGUCACACAGUGACAGCAUCAGAACUCAACUUUUGCUUUUCUUUCUUUCUUUCUUCCUUUUCUUUCUCUCUUUCUUUCUUUGUCUCUUUCUUUCUUUUUCGUUCUUUUCCUUUCUCUUUUCUUUUCUUUCUCUUUCUCUUUCCUUCCUUUUCUUUCUCUUUUCUUUCUCUCUUUCUCUUUCUUUCUUUUCUUUCUUUCUCCUUCUUUUCUUUCUUCUUUCUUCCUCUUUCUUUCUUUCCUUUUUUUGUUGACAGGGUCUCUGUCACCCAGGUUGGAGUGCAGUGGUACGAUCUUGGCUCACUGCAACCUCCACCUCGCAGGUCCAAGCAAUUAUCCUGCCUCAGCCUCCCAAGUAGCUGGGAUUACAGGCACCCACCAUCACACCUGGCUAAUUUUUGUAUUUUCAGUAGAGACAGGGUUUCAUCAUGUUGGCCAGGCUUGUCUGGAACUCCUGGCCUCAAGUGAUCCACCCGCCUCGGCCUCCCAAAGUGCUGGGAUUAUAGGCAUGAGCCACCACGCCCAGCCACCCUUUUGCUUUCUAACUCCAAAACCUAUUCUGUAGCACUCCAGAAUGUAUCUUCAAGGAAGUUUAUUGCAGCACUUUUUACAGCAAGCUAAAUAUCCCUCACUAGUGGACUGAUAACAUGUGGUCCCACUAGGGCCGGGCGAGGUGACUCACACCUGUAAUCCCCGCACUUUGGGAGGCUGAGGUAGGCGGAUCACUUGAGGUCAGGAGCUCAAGACCAGCCUGGCCAACAUGGUGAAACCCGCCUCUACUAAAAAUACAAAAAUUAGCUGAGCAUGAUGGCAGAUGCCUGUAAUCCCAGCUGUUCGGGAGGCUGAGACAGGAGAAUUGCUUGAAUCUGGGGCAGAGGUUGCACUGAGCCAAGAUAGCACCACUGUACUCCAGCCUGGGUGACAGAGCAAGACUCUGUCUCAAAAAAAAAAAAUGUGGUCCCACUAGCAGCCUGGACGUCACCUGGGAGUGUGCAGAAUCUCAGGUGCCACCCAGACCCACUGAAUCAGGGGCUGCAGUUUAACAAGACCC